CAAUAGCGUAUAUUAAAGUUGUUGCAGUUAAAAAGCUCGUAGUUGGAUUUGUGGUGUGUCCAGUCGGCCUUUGCUCUCUGAGUGAUUGUGCUGUACUGGUCUGCCAUGUUUGGGUGGAAUCUGUGUGGCAUUAAGUUGUCGUGCAGGGGAUGCCCAUCGUUUACUGUGAAAAAAUUAGAGUGUUCAAAGCAGGCUUAUGCCGUUGAAUAUAUUAGCAUGGAAUAAUGAUAUAGGACCUUGGUACUAUUUUGUUGGUUUGCGCACUAAGGUAAUGAUUAAGAGGGACAGUUGGGGGUAUUUGUAUACCAUUGUCAGAGGUGAAAUUCUUAGAUUUUUGGAAGACAAACUACUGCGAAAGCAUUUACCAAGGAUGUUUUCAUUA
rnacentral:rRNA from 1 species